rnacentral:lncRNA from 12 species
UCCAAGCUUCUCAUCCUAACGUAAAAUCCGUGAAUUCGUGGGUCAAAAUUCCCUGACAACUUCUUCAGUGUGUCUGGGCCUGUUUGGUGGGGGAACUUAUUCCCGAGCAACUUAUUCCCGCGCACAGAGGCAGCCCCUGCGGCUCCCGCUGACAGCACAGGACAAGGGCUGCGGCUCACCCCUUUCACCCCAACCCGAUUCCUUUGUUUUUGAAGAAGAAUGUAUUUAUUUACGAUAGACACACAGAGAAAGAGAGAGAGCGAGGCAGAGACACAGGCAGAGGCAGAGGCAGGCUCCACGCAGGGAGCCCCACGCGGACUCCACCCCUGGGCUCCAGGGUCAGGCCCAGGCUGAAGGCGCGUCAACCGCUGGGCCGCCCGGGCCGCCCCCAAUUUCUUAAAAGCUGCGCUGGCAGACAGUCACCAGGCCCUCUCCAGCUGUGCUCGGUGCCACGCAGGCGGCUUCUUGACUGGCUCGAAGCAUCUAAGCAAAAGUUUGCGGGGGGGGGGGGGGGGGCCCCGGGGCCACCUUAAAAAGCAACCGGGGCGCAGUUCACAUCACUUGAAAAUAGCUUGAAAAAAAAAAUCGCUUGAAACUGCCGAACUGGGAUCCUGGGCCUCACUCCGCAGGCCUCGGAGCGGGCGUCAGAGCCAGGUUUUGCAGUCCUCUCGCCUCAGCUGCGGCCCCGCGACCACAAUUCCAGGUGCCCGCCAGGACCCUUCGAGCCCCGACAGCCCGGAAGCGCCUGACCACGCCUACCCACUGCGCCUGCGCGAGGCGCCCCCUCCGGCGAGCGGGGAGACUGGCGCUGGGCGGGCCGAGAGGCUCGUCGCGCCUGCGCGAAGGCCCCGGGGAGCAGCGUCGUUACUUUCCAAACGACUGGCGGGAACCGUUGGAGGCCGUGCGGUCGCCGUCUGGUCUGCCGGGCAGCAGCGCGCUCCCUCGUCCCUAGGCCUGGCCGUGGCGCCGCAGCUCUCCCGCGAGCAGAGGCGGAAAUCGUGGCCCAGUUCUUCUAUUGGUUAUACAAGUGUUCAGUUCAGAAACUGGUGGUAUUCAUCUCAAAUAUUGAAAGCGGUGAAGUCCUUGAAAGGUGGAAGUUUGAUAUUGAGUGCGACAAGACUGCAAAAGAUGACAGUUUCUUUGGUAGCACACCCAGAGAAAUGUCUCAGAAGGCCAUCCAGGAUGAGAUCCUCUCCAUAAUCCGACAGAUCACAGUUACCGUGACGUUUCUGCCCUUGUUGGAAGUCUCUUGUGGAGGAAUGGAAACAUGUUCCGACUGGGCCUAUCAGGGUUUGAAAUAGAGCCCCAGAAGGGACUGAACCACACGUCUCCAGGAUUCUUCUCCCAGUGUCAUCAAUUGGAGAGAGGAGUCAAGCCUCCAUGGGAAUUCACACAGAGAAACUAGACAACAGCGGAAGGUGCCCUGCUCCAGCUGCAGGGACUCAGCCAGAAAGACUGGAAUACUACAUGACUCUACCUGCAAGUUGGGGAAGGAGAACUCAACACUAUUUGAGAUCUGACUACUGGUGUGAGGAGAGAGAUUGCAGAUGGGAAGGAAGUGGUGCCAAGAGCUGCAGCUGCAAAA